CAAUGCCUGCCCAGUGACAUGUUAAACGGCCACGGUAUCCUAACCGUGCAAAGGUAGCGUAAUCACUUGUCUUUUAAAUAAAGACUAGAAUGAAUGGCCAAACGAGGUUCCAUCUGUCUCUUACAAACAAUCAGUGAAAUUGAUCUUCCUGUGCAAAAGCAGAGAUAACUAUAUAAGACGAGAAGACCCUGUGGAACUUCAAAUAUACAUCAACUAGUAACAAUAUAUACCUACGGAUUUAUAAUCACACGUACUGAUAUGUAUUUUGGGUUGGGGCGACCUCGGAGUAAAACAAAACCUCCGAAGACAGAACAUAAAAUUCUACACCUAGAUCCACAGUUCAAAGUGCCUACGGCAAAAAGAUCCAAUAUAAUUGAUCAACGAACCAAGCUACCCCAGGGAUAACAGCGCAAUCCCAUCUUAGAGCCCUUAUCAAUGAUGGGGUUUACGACCUCGAUGUUGGAUCAGGACAUCCUAAUGGCGCAGCCGCUAUUAAGGG
rnacentral:rRNA from 1 species